rnacentral:sRNA from 1 species
GGUAAUCUGGAGCUUUCAAAAUGUUUGCCAAAGCAACAAGGAAUUUUCUUAGAGAAGUUGAUGCUGAUGGUGACCUGAUUGCAGUAUCAAAUCUGAAUGACUCUGAUAAGUUACAGCUUCUAAGUCUGGUGACAAAAAAGAAGAGAUUCUGGUGCUGGCAGAGACCCAAGUACCAGUUUUUAUCCCUCACCCUUGGCGAUGUACUCAUAGAAGAUCAAUUUCCGAGUCCAGUGGUUGUGGAGUCGGACUUUGUGAAAUACGAGGGCAAGUUUGCAAACCACGUGAGUGGAACCCUGGAGACUGCACUGGGGAAGGUCAAGCUGAACCUGGGGGGCAGCAGCCGCGUGGAGAGCCAGUCUUCGUUUGGAACCCUGAGGAAGCAGGAGGUGGAUUUGCAGCAGCUCAUCAGAGACUCUGCCGAGAGGUAAGGAGACUUUUGUUUGGCAUUUUGGAUUUUGACACAUCUCACAUUUAAAGGUCAUUCAGUUGGACCUUUGUUAAAAGGGCGACAGAUUUGAUCUCUGCUGAUCAAUAAACGUGUAUUGAAUGUGCUUGUGUUGAAAUUUCAUGAGGAGCACAUUCUUUAGUCUGGAAUUGCUUGACUGUUCCUAGCCUGAGGCGGGGAGACUUGGGAAGCACUUUCAAAGGAUGUUACUUCAGGCAAAUAUGUACUUCCUUCAAUCACAUGAUUUAUAAAAUGCCAACGGUGAAAAUGCUCAGUCCUGCAUUUUUGAAUAUUAAUUUUAGAAGCCAGGAAGUCAUGACCCCCCUCUGGCUCUGUAAUUUUCUGAUGAAAAAAAGAAGAAAGCAAGCGAGAGGCACGUAAAACAGUUCAAAAAUAAGAGCUCUUUUCAGUCUUUGAAGUCUUGAAGAAAACCCCACAUUUAUUCAUUGUUUGGCUUUUGGUAAAUACAUCUUACCACAGUAUAGCUCAUCAUUAUUCUUACCUUAUGUUUAUUCAACAUUCAAAAAAUAAUUGUAUCAAGUGCAUCCUAUGUGCCAUGUACUGUUCUACAUUCUGGGGAGGCUGCAGAGAGCAAAAUGCCCAAAUGUCUGCCUUGCAUUCUAGUGAGGAGAGAUACCAAAUGUACAACUAAAGUAACAUGUGCAGUAGGUUGAUGGGAAUCAGCAGCAGUGAGAGGGGCUAGGAUGUGCUAGGAAUGGGGGCUACGAACUUAGAAAGUAUGGCCAGAAGAAGGUGUCAUGGAGAAGCCGGCAUUAGGGCAAAGCUCUGCAGGAGGGGAGGGAAGGCACGGGGACAUCUGGGCAGGACGCUGUGGGCAGUGGCCAGGGUGGCCUGUGCCCAGUGAGCGAGGGGAGGGCAGGAAAGGAGAGUCGGAGGAGCUGAAAGGGGUGGGGCACCAAGUCCCACAGGACCUUGAAGCCCACUGGAAAGCCUCACACUUACUGAGAGCCAGUGGAGGGUUCUGGGCAGGGAAGGGGUGUAAUCUGAUGUAAUUUUUAGAAGGAUCAUUCUGGCUGCUGAGUUGAGAAGAGACUGGAUGGGCAGCAGCAGGGAGGUUCAGUUGAGAAGUGAUUGCAGUAAUUCAGCGGGGAUGGUAUUUCAGUUUGUACAGUAACGUGUGCAUUUUCCUGUGUAAUUUUAUUGCCCUUUAUUCUUUUAAAGCAAAAAUUCAAAUCCAAAUA